rnacentral:rRNA from 1 species
UACGUAUGGGGCAAGCGUUAUCCGGAUUUACUGGGUGUAAAGGGAGUGUAGGCGGCAGUGCAAGUCAGGAGUGAAAACUUGGGGCUCAACCCCAAGACUGCUUUUGAAACUGUACAGCUAGAGUGUAGGAAGGGCAAGCGGAAUUCCUGGUGUAGCGGUGAAAUGCGUAGAUAUCAGGAAGAACACCGGUGGCGAAGGCGGCUUGCUGGACUAUAACUGACGCUGAGACUCGAAAGCGUGGGGAGCGAACAGG